GUGAAAAUCGUGUGAUAAAGCAUGUUCAUAAAACAUUUUAGAAAAAAUCAACUAUGAAUUUCUGUCUCGUUGUCAGUGAAGUGCAAGUGUAUUUAACGGCAAUAGAAAUUGUUACAUUACGAAGCUUAGGAAAUCUUAUCUACAAAUUAUGUAUUGCUGAUAUUUAAGUCGGCUGAGACUGAUAAUAUCUUUCUCGUGAAUAGAGAAGAGGAACGCUUGCUAAUGGUAAAGAUAAAACGAACCAAACGGUGUUCCGUGGACUAUGUACCUCCUGUGAUAAUCAAAAUACUCGUAAAGAUCUUGGAAUUGGUUCUGUUUCGCUUCGCAUCUACUUGAAAGUAAACUUUCAUAUUUCAAAUAUAAUAUAAUAAUGUAAGCUGGUAAUAUUAUAAGACUGCAGCGAUUACCGACGCGAGAAAAGUAAUCUACAGUCGAUUAGAAGAUAUGGAUAUCCGUAGAAAAUUCGAAUUUAA